rnacentral:rRNA from 1 species
GACGAACGCUGGCGGCGUGCUUAACACAUGCAAGUCGAACGGAAAGGCCUCUUUCGGGGGGUACUCGAGUGGCGAACGGGUGAGUAACACGUGAGUAACCUGCCCUUGACUUUGGGAUAACUUCAGGAAACUGGGGCUAAUACCGGAUAGGAGCUCCUGCUGCAUGGCGGGGGUUGGAAAGGUUCGGCGGUUGGGGCUGGACUCGCGGCGUAUCAGAGUGUUUGUGGGGUAGUGGCUUACCAAGGCUUUGCCGGGUAGCCGGCCUGAGAGGGUGCACGGCACCAGUGGGACGUGGAGACGGCCCAGACUCCUACGGGAGGCAGCGGCGGGGAAAAGUGCUCUAUGGGUGGAAGCCCGAUGCAGCAACGCCCUGCGCGGGAUGACGGACUUCGGGUUGGAAACCGCGUUCGCGCAUUACGAAGCUCUGUGUGACGGUAGUGGGUAAAGAAGCACCGGCUAACUACGUG